rnacentral:rRNA from 1 species
GGGGACCCGCAAGCGGUGGAUGAUGUGGAUUAAUUCGAUGCAACGCGAAAAACCUUACCUACCCUUGACAUGUACGGAAGACCGAAGAGAUUUGGUUGUGCUCGAAAGAGAACCGUAACACAGGUGCUGCAUGGCUGUCGUCAGCUCGUGUCGUGAGAUGUUGGGUUAAGUCCCGCAACGAGCGCAACCCUUGUCAUUAGUUGCUACAUUUAGUUGAGCACUCUAAUGAGACUGCCGGUGACAAACCGGAGGAAGGUGGGGAUGACGUCAAGUCCUCAUGGCCCUUAUGGGUAGGGCUUCACACGUCAUACAAUGGUACAUACAGAGGGCCGCCAACCCGCGAGGGGGAGCUAAUCCCAGAAAGUGUAUCGUAGUCCGGAUCGCAGUCUGCAACUCGACUGCGUGAAGUUGGAAUCGCUAGUAAUCGCGGAUCAGCAUGUCGCGGUGAAUACGUUCCCGGGGUCUUGUACACACC